rnacentral:rRNA from 1 species
AACGAACGCUGGCGGCAGGCUUAACACACGCAAGUCGAACGCCCCGCAAGGGGAGUGGCGCACGGGUGAGUAACGCGUGGAUAUCUGCCUUUUGGUUCGGAAUAACCCCGGGAAACUGGGGCUAAUACCGGAUGGUUCCUACGGGAUAAAGAUUUAUCGCCAAAAGAUGAGUCCGCGUACGAUUAGCUAGUUGGUGAGGUAAUGGCUCACCAAGGCGACGAUCGUUAGCUGGUCUGAGAGGACGAUCAGCCACACUGGGACUGAGACACGGCCCAGACUCCUACGGGAGGCAGCAGUGGGGAAUAUUGGACAAUGGGGGCAACCCUGAUCCAGCCAUGCCGCGUGAGUGAUGAAGGCCUUCGGGUUGUAAAGCUCUUUUGGCGGGGACGAUGAUGACGGUACCCGCAGAAUAAGCCCCGGCUAACUUCGUG